CAGUAGCCGCGGUAAUACGUAGGGUGCGAGCGUUAAUCGGAAUUACUGGGCGUAAAGCGUGCGCAGGCGGUGCUGCAAGACCGAUGUGAAAGCCCCGGGCUUAACCUGGGAACUGCAUUGGUGACUGCAGCGCUGGAGUAUGGCAGAAGGGGGUGGAAUUCCACGUGUAGCAGUGAAAUGCGUAGAGAUGUGGAGGAACACCGAUGGCGAAGGCAGCCCCCUGGGCCAAUACUGACGCUCAUGCACGAAAGCGUGGGGAGCAAACAGGAUUAGAUACCCCAGUAGUCCCUGUCUCUUAUAC
rnacentral:rRNA from 1 species